rnacentral:snoRNA from 1 species
AAUUCAUGUGUGGGCAUUUCUAGAUCAACAUUUUAAAAAACUCCCAAGCUUCAUGAAAUCUUUCCCCUUGUAACUGUUUGAACAUCGAAAUUCCUUUCUUAUCU